GGCGAAUGGUGUGUUGCUUCUCAAUGGUGUGUCCAGAGGAAGAUACAGAGAAAACGAAGAAUCUGAAGUCAGGCAGGUGGUGUCGAUGCUGGUUGUGGUGGUGGUGCUGUUCGUCCUGUGUUGGGGACCAAUUCUGGUGGUGAACGUACUCAAGUCUUAUGGGAUUUUGCCCGCUUAUUCUCCGGUCCUGAAGCACGUCGUCACUACCAUGGAUCUGCUUUCUUACUGUAAUAGUUGCGUGAACCCAAUCGUGUACGGGUUCAUGUCGAGGAACUUCAGGGAGAGCUUCUGCCAGGUUCUCAGAUGCGGCCGCCGCCCUUUCCACGGGCGCACCCACCGCCAGAUGUCUCUGUCGCUCACCAGGACUCUAUACUGAGACACAAUACCGAUAGCAGGCUUUGGAACAAUCGCAGCCUAACUUCGAGGGUGUCUUACCCUCUUAGCUACGGUUAUAACUACAGCAGAAGUACGACCCAAGAGACAAUUAUGAUGAUGAAAACGACCCCAUCUUAACUCAUGGGCGACUGACAGGUCGUCUGGAAAUACGGCCCCAGUUGGUUGAAGUACUUUCCCAAGUGGUUCGAAGACUAGGCCCAGCUGGAUAAAAAUAUGACUUCUGAGGUUGUAAAAUUCCAACGGCUGUGGCUGAAUGGAAGAACCCACCGAACAGAAAGCGAGUUAAAAUACUACCAUGGUGAGUAGAUAUUUUGAUCCCAGUGGGUAUUCAGUGCGACACUAAUUGGUUAAAAAUUCGACCCCAGUCGGUGUAAAGAAUGAUUCACUGGUAGAUGGUACGACCAUAUUGAUGAGAAAGUGCAAUGAACACGAUAGAAGGUACGACCUAAAUGAUGAGAAAGUGCAAUGAAUAGGAUAGACGGUACGAUCUAAUUGAUACGACCUAAUUUGAGAAAGUACAAUGAACAGGAUAGAAGGUGCGACCUAAUUGAUAAGAAAGUGCAAUGAACAGGAUAGAAGGUACGACCUAAUUGAUAAGAAAAUGCAAUGAACAGGAUAGAAGGUACGACCUAAUCAAUGAGAAAGUGCAAUGAAUAGGAUAGACGGUACGAUCUAAUUGAUGAGACAGUGCAAUGAACAGGAUAGAAGGUAAGGUACGACUUAAUUUGAGAAAGUACAAUGAACAGGAUAGAAGGUACGACCUAAUUUAUGAGAGAGCAAUGAACAGGAUAGAAGGUACGACAUAAUUGAUAAGAAAGUGCAAUAAACAAGAUAGAAGGUACGACCUAACUGAUGAGAAUGUGCAAUAAACAAGACACGAAAGAAAAUAGUACAGUUAACUACCGGAAUUUUCUCGUCACUUCUGUCGUCUGGAAGUGAAACAAAGUCUGCUCCCUAAUUGUGAAUACUAUACUCAGUGAUAAACGUCUGAUGUAUUUUUAUUCUGAGAUAUAAUACUACUCAGUGCUCUUCUUAGCUCGCUGUUUUUCGUUAGAUUCGGAUCUUUCAUAAAAUCAUCAUAUGUUAAUGUAUGAUUUUCAUCAUUCCCAGAAUAAUAAGAAAUUACGACUCCGACUUGGUUUCCAUUUUGAAGGUCCCUACUAGGUCUUACGGUAACAUUUACAAUACGAACUGAGAAACUCGAAAAUUCGUUAAAUUUGUUCUAUCUUUCAUUUAUGUUAACUUAUGUUGUUUUGAUUAUAUUCAAAUCAGAAAUCAAUUUCCACUGCAUCAUUCCCAAACAGAGACUUAUAGAGUACAUAUUCAAAUAAGUAAUUUUUUAAAAAAUAUAAACAAAGGAUAUCAAAACAUUAAUAACAUAACCAUAACGGAAAUAAAUGGACUGAAAUUCAUAUUUCAGUAACCCAGCGACAUCUCUCUUUGUAGAUUUCAUAAUAUGGAAAGAUAUAGGCCUCUCCUACAUCACGCUUUGCUAUAAUAUGCAGCAUCACACUACAGAUAAAACAAGUCAAAGAGAGUCUCUCUGUUAGUAAAUUGAAAUACGAUUUGUUUUUAUAAAUACAUCAAAGUCCUAUUUUUAUUACAAAUACACUUUUUUGCCAUGAAAAUAUAAUGAAGUGUGCAAGUAACAGAUUCAAUUUGUUAGUAAAUGUCCAACAAAGCUGAUGAAAAAUUUAUCGUUAAUAUUUUGCACUGUCUAUUAUGUAGGAUAAUCUGCACGCUUAAAUAUCCAAUCUUCUGUCGCCUUCAAGUUCCGACGCUCCAUCACUGGACAAAUAGAGUUUAGGAACUUUGGGGGAGAAAGGAUAUCCUUCGGCAUCCUAAGGAAAACCUUUUAUCUCUUACAACCUUCUCGAGUUUCCAGACGAUACGACAACUUCAAUAUAACAAAGGAGACAGGAUCCUAAAGCGCUAUCAGUGGAAGUUCCUGUCUGAACAGAUUUUCCUUUGCUAUCUUGGCUACUUCAUUGAUGUGUAAACUGAGGGGAUGUUAGUAUGGAAAUCAAACCUAAAAUCAGUGAUAUAUUUAACCAGUGUUUUAUCUUCACUAUCAUCAGUGUGAUCUGUGUUCCAAUCACUUAUUUUAUUCCAUCAACAUUCCUCAAAGUGACUGAGUGAUGAUUGACAUUGAUGUAUUUAAUGUCGUGACUUCAAUAAAUGUCA